GGACGAUCCAAAAACACACUAACAAAUCUACAUCAGAAUGCCUGAAAACUAUCCGCCAAACCACUGCAAUAACAUCUUCAGCAGCGCUGUAAGCCAUAUGUGUUCGCUCCACAUCGAUAUAGCAAAGAACCAUGAACAUACUUGCUGUUCCAGCUCUGGUGGUCUUUUCCCACUUCGCCAUUUGUGGGAAACGGAACCCCUGGGACUGUUGAAGCUUUUAGACCUGGUUUUACACACUUACUCCCUCUAACUCACAGCACAGGUGUGCCAUGUAGGUUCACAGAGAGUAAUUAAACCUCAAUCACUUGCUACUUUUGGUGACAAGCAGUGAGAAAUUUGUGAUCUUGUAUAAACGUGUGUUUGCUUCUCGAAACUCUGUCUGAGGCUGAGCUACUAAAAUACUUUAGUAAAUAUUUCAGAUAUCUUACGAAGGUAUUAUAGGGUUCAUGUUUACUAUUCAAAUGAUUGAGAGUAAAACCAAACAUUAAUGGGUUUGGAGAGGAGCUAAUGAAGACCAGGAUCCAGAGCAGGGAGAGGAGAUUGCUUUUUAUAGAUUUGUUUCUUAUAUUUUCUCCAACUGAAUAGUUGAAAUAUGUGUUUAUAAUAUAGUGUCUUUGUAAAUGUAGUUUGCACGUUAUGCCUGUGGGGGUGCCAGUGUAAUGCUAGACGGACGGACGGAGGAACCAUUUGAUCCUACCAGUUAUUUUGGUAGGUUUGAAGUGGGGAGACUCGUUCAUCCCAGGGUGGUUAACCUGAAGGUCAUUUGGGUUACCGAUACUAAAGACAAUAAGUAAGACUUAUUGGUCACCAUUGUUACACUAUCUCUUCUUCUUCCUGUUAAGUGCUGCAGUACUUUUUUUCUUUCCACAUUUCUUUGUUUACUCGACAAAAAGGGCAGAAAAGAUUUGCAAUAAACUAAGCAAGCCAAGGUAAAAUAGCUAAGUGUCACUGAAAUAAGGUGGGCGUGUUCCAGUCAGUUUGCAUGGCUGCAGGUUCCGACCCUGAAAACCAGGCUUGAGAAACCUGCAGCGUUUGUCCAGUUCCAUCUGAUACAGUCUGACACUCAGCCUGAUAACAGGCUGAGUGAAAAUGAAAGUUUCAAAUUAGCAUUAUUUAACUGAAGUCCCCUUGGUUGGUAUUCCAGGGACUUAUCCUGGUAACACACGUGCGGUGAGACGAAAGAAACAGCUUUCUUUUUAAACUCAAUGUCUUGACUCAAUUUUUUCCAUUUAUAGACAAAACAUAAAUCUGUGUAUUAUUCUUCCUUUGUGGAACAAUAGACAAAAAGAGAAUAACUGUAUUUAUAUGUUUUUCUUUUGCUUUUUCGCUCUUCUUUUUUAAAAAACAAAAUGAGAAAAAAACAAGACAGAAACUAGGGUUGUUAGUUUUGUGUGUGCAAUGGACUGUUGGGAAAACAAGGAAACACAUGUCAAGUGUGAUGGAAAGUUGCAGGUUGUGAGGUAAAAAGUGGUUAAAUGGGUUAAAAGCUGAAAGCUUGUGAUCAGCCACCUGGAUGGGAGGAAUUGAGAGCAUUUGCCACACUUGUGUCACUAAAGAGUUUCAAAGCGAAUGUUCAGCAUUAGCUGGAUUACAUGGCUCAUAUGUUGCAAAAAAGAAAAAGCUCCAAAAAAUGAGCUCUAUGUAAAUUUAAUGAUCACUGUGUUUGCAACGAAAAGAAAAGAAAACUAUGUAUUUUUAUGUUUAUGCUCCCUUUGCAAUUCCUCUGUGCAGCUUAAACUGUAACCGAGAGUCUCUGCAGCAGUUGCAGGACAUGCUGGAUCCAAAGAUCGCCUUCAGCUGCACGCCUGUAACUGAGUAAGUACCGGACAUAUAUCAGCAGAGGCUCUGUUGCACCCUGGGACUCACUCCCACAGCUCUAAACCCAGUUUCCUUUGUCUUUAAUUGCAGGUCCCGUAUCCACUACUGCAUUGAAAGGGGUUUAACCACCGAGGCCUGCUGGAGUUAAACCUUUCUGACAUCAAACUGUCAGAAAAAAGCUGGGAAGACAUGUGUUCUUUUUCAUUCCGUCACAAAAGUCAACAAUAUUCUCUUCAUUCCUAGAUUAACUGCAAGUACAGCCGGAGCACUUGCUCUGAAACAGUCAUGUGUCAUCUUUUAAUCCUAUGGUUCCUUUUUUGGGGGGAUUUCUCAGCCAUUUCUCGUUCCAGCAUAGCUUUGAUCCAAUCAGGCAUUCAGGUUUUGGGUUGUUUGGUUAGACACCACUGCGUUUCAUCUGUGUUGACUUUUACAUUUUUCUUCAUUCACACAAAUGUAGAUUUGUUGAUUUGCUUUGGAAUAUUUUCCUGUUGCACGACCCAGUUUCAACAAAGUCUGAGAUGUAGCUCUUGUUUUUGUUUGUUUGUUUUUAUUUCUCUGAGCAUUAUUGAACAAUCUCAACUGAAGCUCAGAAAGGGACAUCUGCUCCUUAGAAAAUGUGCAUGUAUUUAAAUUUCUUUCCAUCUGUUAUUUACUGUUCAAUUGUGUCUUGCUGCUUUUAAUGUUGAUGUAAAGCACUUUGAAUUACCUUGUGGUAAAUUGUGCUAUACAAAUAAACUUGCCUUGCCU